CCUCUGCGUGCGCGUGUGCACCGUGAGGUCGCUGUGAAAACAUGACGUGGGUUUAUGACAAGGUCUACACAGAGCUUGGUUUGAGACACCCUCCGCGCGAGCCCCGAGGCCUCCCGCCAGGGCGAACCAAGAGCGAACCGCGUCUCCUCUCGCUUCGCCGAUCCGACACGCGACGCACUGCCAACAGGACGCAGGGGGACUAUGCAAUGUGAAUGCUUGCAGCUGUUAAGGCAAGAAGGGAUGGCGGUGAAUAGGCAGGAGGUGAAAGCAGAAGGGAGAAGUAAAAUGUAUGGAUAAGAGGACUGAACAAUAAGAAAAGCAAGAUGUCAAACGACCUGGUGCUGAUACUGUACUAACUAAAAUACCUCUUAUAUCA